CCUACGGGAGGCAGCAGUGAGGAAUAUUGGUCAAUGGACGAGAGUCUGAACCAGCCAAGUAGCGUGAAGGAUGACUGCCCUAUGGGUUGUAAACUUCUUUUAUAUGGGAAUAAAAUGUUCCACGUGUGGGAUUUUGUAUGUACCAUAUGAAUAAGGAUCGGCUAACUCCGUGCCAGCAGCCGCGGUAAUACGGAGGAUCCGAGCGUUAUCCGGAUUUAUUGGGUUUAAAGGGAGCGUAGGUGGAUUGUUAAGUCAGUUGUGAAAGUUUGCGGCUCAACCGUAAAAUUGCAGUUGAAACUGGCAGUCUUGAGUACAAUAGAGGUGGGCGGAAUUCGUGGUGUAGCGGUGAAAUGCUUAGAUAUCACGAAGAACUCCGAUUGCGAAGGCAGUUCACUGGACUGCAACUGACACUGAGGCUCGAAAGUGUGGGUAUCAAACAGGAUUAGAUACCCCUGUAGUC
rnacentral:rRNA from 1 species